rnacentral:lncRNA from 1 species
AUCUGCGGAGGAUCUGGUCAAGUGGAGAUAAUCCAUGCAAAUCAGAAACUGGUUGUCAGUGUGUGGUUCCCGGAGAGGACUCAGCCUGAGGAGGUCACUCGUUCACAGCCGCUCCUCCCAUUCUAUCUCUCCCCUUAUUGCAGAACUGCUGUAUGUAUACAGUAGCAGAAAGGACUCAAUUGACUUCAACUGCUGCCUGGUUUUGCUUACAACUUUUUCUUAUAAAGGAACUUACCUCCAUCUGUCUCUUGAAGGUAGGAAGCCUGAUUCUUCUAAAGACGCGUGUAAUGCCUCUUCUGUCUGCUCAUUGUCAAAUGUCACUGGAAUGCGUUACAUUGUUGCUGGCACAGGGCGCAAAUGCUGUGAUUCCAGGUGUCUCUGGCUUUUGUUACUUAACGGUGUAGGUGCAAUUGUUUAAGUGCGGGGGUAUUUGGAUGUUUAUUUUCCACAUAGCCAGCUUCAGUUUUACCAAGCAAGGAAGAUUAGAGUGUCUACUCUCUAACCUAGAAAUACAAUUGGCUAUCAAGUUUUCCCUCUUAAAAAAAUAAUAACCUCUUUAGAUGGUUUAACUUCUGCCAAUUACAGCCAAGUGUAAAAUUCAACCGUGAGAAGGUGGCUGUGUAUUGUUUGCCUGAACCUGGAACCUUCUUGCAGCAUUUUCUCU